GCGGAAGUAGUUCAGUGGUAGAACACCACCUUGCCAAGGUGGGGGUCGCGAGUUCGAACCUCGUCUUCUGCUCCA
rnacentral:tRNA from 1 species